rnacentral:rRNA from 1 species
CCUACGGGAGGCAGCAGUGGGGAAUAUUGCACAAUGGGGGGAACCCUGAUGCAGCGACGCCGCGUGAAGGAAGAAGUAUUUCGGUAUGUAAACUUCUAUCAGCAGGGAAGAAAAUGACGGUACCUGACUAAGAAGCCCCGGCUAACUACGUGCCAGCAGCCGCGGUAAUACGUAGGGGGCCAGCGUUAUCCGGAUUUACUGGGUGUAAAGGGAGCGUAGGCGGCAGUGCAAGUCAGAAGUGAAAGCCCAAGGCUCAACCAUGGGACUGCUUUUGAAACUGUACAGCUAGAGUGCGGGAGAGGUAAGUGGAAUUCGUGGUGUAGCGGUGAAAUGCGUAGAUAUUAGGAAGAACACCAGUGGCGAAGGCGGCCUACUGGACUGUAAAUGACGCUGAGGCUCGAAAGCGUGGGGAGCGAACAGGAUUAGAUACCCUAGUAGUC